UCAAUAGAAAAAUCAUCAAUCAUAAAAACAAGCAAGAGCCCCUCAAAUGCUUGUCACUGUCUUACCUUCUGCUAUCGUGGGAGAGGACCGACUCCACUUAGAGAUGCACUAAAUCUACUCUUACUUUAAAUAAAAUAUUCCUAAAGUAUUACAACAUUCCUGGAAUUAACAAAUGAAAUGUAUAAUGUAUUGUGAGUUGGGGUUUAAGUCAUGAACAGGUAACAUUUUACUAGUUUGAAAAUCAUGA
rnacentral:lncRNA from 1 species